AUGCGCUGCAGUCGCAUCCAUGUAAACGUAGCCAGAGAAGAUUAGCAUGGCCCCUGCGCAAGGAUGACACGCAAAAUCGUGAAGCGUUCCACAUCUUU
rnacentral:snRNA from 1 species